rnacentral:piRNA from 1 species
UUCAUUCAUUCCACAGACAGGUAUGGAGC